AUUUAAAUAGUUUAAUAAAAAUGUUGAUUUGUGGUGUCAAAGAUAUGAUUUUAAAUC
rnacentral:tRNA from 1 species